rnacentral:rRNA from 1 species
GACGAACGCUGGCGGCGUGCUUAACACAUGCAAGUCGAACGGAAAGGCCCUGCUUUUGUGGGGUGCUCGAGUGGCGAACGGGUGAGUAACACGUGAGUAACCUGCCCUUGACUUUGGGAUAACUUCAGGAAACUGGGGCUAAUACCGUAUAGGAGCUCCUGCUGCAUGGUGGGGGUUGGAAAGUUUCGGCGGUUGGGGAUGGACUCGCGGCUUAUCAGCUUGUUGGUGGGGUAGUGGCUUACCAAGGCUUUGACGGGUAGCCGGCCUGAGAGGGUGACCGGCCACAUUGGGACUGAGAUACGGCCCAGACUCCUACGGGAGGCAGCAGUGGGGAAUAUUGCACAAUGGGCGGAAGCCUGAUGCAGAAACGCCGCGUGCGGGAUGACGGCCUUCGGGUUGUAAAACGCUUUCGCCUGUGACGAAGCGUGAGUGACGGUAAUGGGUAAAGAAGCACCGGCUAACUACGUG